rnacentral:lncRNA from 1 species
UGCUUAACGGCAUAAACUUUAAGGAAUGGAAAGAGAACAUUAUGAUAGUUCUCGGUUGCAUGGAUCUAGACCUUGCNNNNNNNNNNNNNNAGAGAACAUUAUGAUCGUUCUCGGUUGCAUGGAUCUAGACCUUGCACUUCGGAUUGAGCAACCUGCUUCUCUUGAGGAUACAUCUUCUUCUGAUGAAAAGUGGGAGAUGGAGAAGUGGGAACGCUCAAAUCGCAUGAGUCUAAUGAUCAUGAAACGUGCAAUCCAGAAUCAUUCAGGGGCACUAUGAAUGAUGAAAGAAAUGCCAAAGUUUUCCUUGAAAACCUUGAAAAGCGUUUUGCACAAAACAAAAAGGCGGAAACAA